rnacentral:lncRNA from 12 species
CAACGGUUUUUUAUUAUGUGUCUGGAAACUUCUGAAGUGAAAGGAUUGUUUAUUUUCCCAAUUUUUCUGUCAAAAAAAAAAAUAACAGGCUGAAAGAGAGAUUUUUGUUUUAUUUUGAAUCUUCUCUUUGACGACCUUUACGGAUGGUCACAGACCCUCGGCUGAGCUCUGAGGCGGAGGGUCCCAGCGGCACCUACUCCAUUUGCCUGAUCUCAUCCCCCUGCUGCUGAGGGACAACAUGAGGAGACUCUGCCAGUUCACACCUUGGCCUCCAAAAAGGUGGGCUGAGAGAGACGAAGGAAAGAAACAGACCAUUCUAGACUAGUCGGUGGCGGGAACGAGCACGGGAACUUACUUCGAUGGCUUGUCUUUGCUGGGUAGGUCUUCUGAGCACCUUCCAGAAUCCCAAAGGUCUAUAUAGAGGACCUAAGCCCGGUCGGCCACCUGCGCCUGCCGCGACACUUGGCCCUUCAAAGUGCUUUCCCGGUGGGGACACUAGGGGGCGGGGCCUAUAGGCCAAGGCCCGGGCGAGGGGGAGGGGCAGUGGGGAGCUCCAAAUCGCCCGGAUGGAGCUUUACCCCGCCAACAGCCGCGGGUUCCUCAGGCCUCCUUCCAACGAGUCCCGUGGAGCCGUGACUGAAAGCACGGUCACGUCUGGAGUGGAGCCAAAGCAGAGCCGGCCUUCCCGGCAGCCUGAGGCAGCUAAGUAGGGCCGGGCCUGACGCGCUCCACGCAGGACUUCCCGUGUCCCUCUUGUCCCGGUGGACGGUGAGACCCAGUCAGGUCUCCUCACAGACGAGUCAGCGGGAGAAGGCGGGCUGCCGCCGCGAAGACCGAAAGCGCAGGCGGACGGGCUGAGGGCCGAGGCCUGGAAGGGAGCCGCGGCGGCGGCCCUUCCUGCUCGCGGCCCUGUCAGCCGCCCUCGCUGCCGCGCUGCCUCCGGGCCGAGGCGCCGCCUGGGUCAGUUUCCCGGCGUUUCUCCCCAAGGCGCUUUGCAGAGUUUCGGCGCCCUCCCGGAUCUUGGGGUUAUUUAGAGCAUCACCCUAUAAGUAUCUAAGUUGAAAAAAACAAUAGCAAAAAAAAAAAAGAAGAAGAAGCAAGUCCUUUUAAAUCUGGUCAGUAACUUUUACUUUAUUUAUAUUUCCACAUGAUACUCUGAAUAAAUAACUUAAAAUUUUAUCUGAUUUAUUUUUA